rnacentral:tRNA from 1 species
AUUUGAGUAGUUUAGGCAAAAAUGUUGAUUUGUGGUGUCAGUGACGUAGAUAGCUACCUCAGAUU